GGAAGCUGCAGAGCAGUUCCAAAGAACCAGCUCGGGACAGUAAAUGACUCCCACAGUCAAACUGAGCAUGCUCACCUCUCUGGUUGCCACACAUCGAUGUGCAGGCUGGUCCCUGGAUCCCCAACAGUUACGGCAGACUGUGAUAUGCAGAGGGAAGCAACACUUCUAGGGAAGAAUGUGGUCCAGACCACGUGGAGGUGGAAAUCACCAAGGCCUUGACUCCUCCUUCCCACUCAUUCUUCCAUGUCCUCACCUGUGAACUGGGAGAAUUCGGAACUGAAGUAAGUAAAGAUGGUGGAGUUCUUGAAGACAGCGGAAUCACUGGCCAGGAGGAACUCACUUCAGCGAUGGAGAGGACACUGAUGGAAACGGCACCCGGGCUCAGCGGCAGGCAGGAGAUGGCGAGGCAGCCAGUCAAACAUCUCUAGAAAGCCUGCCAUGUAAGGUUCUGUGCUGGGCACCACUACAAACAAUGGUGUCUCACACUCAGACUCUGCUCUGGGAGAGGAGCCAAGGAGACAGAGAACUCCAGAAAAAGGUGGAGAAGUAAUCACAGAAUGCCUGAGCUGGAGUCUUUCCUCAAGAUGCUAGAUACUUGGCUUCCAUUGUUUUCUGACACUUGUUACAGCAGAGACGUCAGAGACCACGCUGAUUCAUUCUUUUUACGCAAUCUCUCUUUUCACUCUUUAGACAUAGCUCAGAAAUACCCUCAGAAUACUUCUCAACAUACAGCAUAGUCAACUCACUCCAAUCAAUUGGUGCUGACCCAACAAAUGAAACCUGCCCGCCAUGUCUGGCUCGAGACAGUAAAAGCAAGAGUGUGGCCAAGAGUCACAUGCAUAAGAAUUCAUUACAACAAUACAUCAGCUCGAUUUAAUAAGACAUGCUUGAAUUACUGCUGACAAUUAUGAAAGAAUACAAAGAGUAUCUGGUGAGAAUAAUCAAAUGUUGAAUGUGUUGCCUUUGAUCAUUUGUUUGUUUUACUUUACAGCCUAAGUAAAGCUGAUUAAAAUCUACAAGUUGAUUAAAACAGUCUAUUUGUUUUAAAACUUGUUUAAAUAAUCUACUUGUUUUAAAAAAUAAAACAAGUCAAU
rnacentral:lncRNA from 1 species